rnacentral:lncRNA from 10 species
GAUUUUCCAUUUUUUUUAUUCUAGUACUACAGUUUACAGCCAUUAGAUGAUAAACAAUAAAACAUCACUUUUUAGAAAAUCCAUAUCCAAAGCCAACCUCAAGUACACAGUAAUUUAAGUUAAAUCCACUUUUUAAAAAAAUUUCCUAAUAGGUUUGGUACUUAAUUUUUCUGUUUUACACACAUAACUGGAACUUGUAAAUGGGCAACUACCUUCUUAUAUGUGGAAUUAUAGUUUUUUCUUGUCCUUUCCCCCAAACCACAUAUAUUAAAUCAUGGGACAUUAUAUAUCAACCCUCACCUAGGCUUUGGGUUAUUCUAUAAGGAAAAGCCUUUGUCAGAGUUUGGCUGUCUCCUUCCUUUCCCAUUCCCACAAAAGAUGUGUGACUAAGUGGACAAAGAACUCAGCACUGGGCCUGUUUAAGACUCUGACCAUAUUCUCCAGAAGAUUCUGAUGGAUGUUUUCUUCUACAUAUCUUAUAACUUUGCACCUAUAGAGAAGCAUGUUUUAGAAGGUAAAGCACUUGGGGCUUUAUAUAAUAGAAUUUAAACGCAUGCUAUGUGUAGGUUUUAGAAAGUUCAAUUUCGGUAUUUGAUCACUCCUUCCAAAUGCUCGUAGAAAAGGCAACCCAUCACCACAAAAGGUUGAUGAAGAGAAGAAUACAGUAGGAGCUUUGUUUAUAUAGGUGCAAAUUAUAAGAAUUAAAAUAAGUUCAAGAGCACAGGAUCUUCCACUUCCAUGAAGUUGGUCUAAACAUAUGUUCUUUGGACUUAAUUUUGGUUCAAGUCCAAUCUGUGCAGGGACCUAUAUAAGCACACAUGGAAUCUAUCUUACACUCUUAAUUCUGGUUUUGCCAAGAAAAAGAUAAAGAAUUUUAAGAGCUGGAAGCGAAGGGGUUAUCUGUGUCCCCACCAAAGCAGCUGAAAUGCUGCAAAGCAUACCAGAAUGAAAAAAAGAGAAAAAAACCCAAGUAUUUUGUCAGGACCUUUUGAAGGAAUGAAGGCUUAUGUAAAGCCUGUCUCUUCAAAUCAAAAAUCAUCUUAAAAAAUCAAACUGUUUAUAGGAUUAUUUACAAUGUUAAAGCCUAGAAAGGGUUAGUCUGUGGUCACUUAGAAACAGAAGCCCUGCUAAUAUUGCUUGUGGAUAUCUACUGGGAAUCUAUUUUUGUACUAAAUAAUAAUAAAGAAUAUAAGUUUAUCAUUUACUUCCUAUUCUGAAAUGUUUUUCUAAUAAUUCAAUUAUUAGCUUCCCAGAACCUUUAGCAAAUCCCCAUCUGAACAAAAAGUAACAGAAACUCUUAAGUAAAUGUUUCCAGGUAAGAAAUGACAGGCCAGGCAGAAUAUCAUCAUUCAUGUCUAUACCCUGUCCUUUUUACUCCAAUAUAAGAAAAGCAGGAUACGAAAAAUGGGUACUGCAUCAUUUUUUGUUAAUAGGAGAGGAGUGUUUUUAUUAGAAUUGUUCUCUCUGAACUGCCUAAGUAGGAAGCGGAAUUGCAGGAAAACGGCAGAGGUAGAAGAUGACAAACAUGAGGAGGGUUUCCCCAGGCGUCCACAUUAUUAUGUUAUCAUAGGUUACCUAAUUACUAACUUUAUUUCUAUGUAUUUUAAAGAAAUAUAAGAAAUCACCCAUUAAUCCAUUCAUUCAUAUAUCUACUGAAUGAAUGCUUGUAUAUUCAAGGCACUGCGACAGAUCUAAUACGGGAACUUAAAAGAUUCGUUAACUAAUCUCAGGGAGCUUACACUCGCAUCGGAGGAGACAUAUAUAAAGAGUUAAAAGGUACAGUAGACAGUGAGAAGUGCCAUAAGCAGUAUAGAUAGAUAUGAGUAUGAAGCUAUGGGAGUUCCCAGAAAGACAGAUCAUUUCUAGCUGCAAAGAGGUAUCAGAGGAAACUCUGGGGAGGUGGCAUUUGAGCCUAAACUUAAAAAUGUAUCUGACGAAUAAGGGAGUGGGAAGAAUUAGGACAUUUCUAAUUGGUGGAACUAUUGGGAAAGAAAUAAAUGGGAAAAAUGGGAAGUACAGGGACCAGCAGUUUAGUUUUGCUCAAGUGCAAGAAGGGUGACAAACAGGUGUUAAGGGUAGAAACAUCAAAUGACCUUGGGUACCACGUCACAUUCAUCCUUGAAGACUCAGCCAUUUCUCUUGGCUGCUAAGUUGCCAGAGAGAAAAUGGUGGUUUCACAUAAGCACAGAAAGAGAGUAGCAUAGGAAGAAGAUGUGCUUUGGGCAG